GAGAAAGUCAUAGUGACUAUGGUAUUGGCUUGAAACCAGUUUCAGGGGGUUCGAAUCCUUCCUUUCUUG
rfam:Myotis davidii contig2709, whole genome shotgun sequence.